rfam:Danio rerio chromosome 4, GRCz11 reference primary assembly.
GCCGAAAUAGCUCAGUUGGGAGAGCGUUAGACUGAAGAUCUAAAGAUCCCUGGUUCGAUUUGGGUUUUGGCA